UAAGCUAGUCACGGUUAGUACGGGUGCACUGGGCCAGAUCCCAACUGUGGUAUGUGGACUGCGGAGUUACGUGGCGGACAUUGCGGUUUGUGAGCGGUUGCGGUUAGAGCUCGGUCCCACGUCAAUCGGAUCGCAGAUCGUCCAUUUUUCAACCCAUGGGUCAAUAGAUCUAAGCCGGUUCCAGACAAAAAAAGGACCCAGAUGCUAGAAACAGUUCCUGGACUCGGUUUCACGACCCGGUUCUAAGAACCAAUUACAAAAUCCGGUUACACCGCUUUUUACCACGUUUAGCCGAACUUCUUCCCUGACUUCUACCCAGAAAUCAAAUAUGACCAUUGUUCAAAUCUCGUUUGGCACUUUUUAAUUUUUAACUUUUGUAAAAUAAGAAUAAAAUGUUAAUGC